rnacentral:rRNA from 1 species
GAUGAACGCUGGCGGCGUGCUUAACACAUGCAAGUCGAACGAAGCACUUUGGACGGAUUCUUCGGAUGAAGUCCUUAGUGGCUGAGUGGCGGACGGGUGAGUAACGCGUGGGUAACCUGCCUCAUACAGGGGGAUAACAGUUAGAAAUGGCUGCUAAUACCGCAUAAGCGCACGGUAACGCAUGGUACAGUGUGAAAAACUCCGGUGGUAUGAGAUGGAACCGCGUUGGAUUAGCUAGUUGGCAGGGUAACGGCCUACCAAGGCGACGAUCCAUAGCCGGCCUGAGAGGGUGGACGGCCACAUUGGGACUGAGACACGGCCCAGACUCCUACGGGAGGCAGCAGUGGGGAAUAUUGCACAAUGGGGGAAACCCUGAUGCAGCGACGCCGCGUGAGCGAAGAAGUAUUUCGGUAUGUAAAGCUCUAUCAGCAGGGAAGAAAAUGACGGUACCUGACUAAGAAGCCCCGGCUAACUACGUGCCAGCAGCCGCCGCGGUAA